GGAACGUAUUCUUUGAUUGUGGCCAUAGUCAAUAUGAGUGUAUAUAUUUGUCAAAACUCACACUCUAAAAAAACAAAACAAAACUCAGACUCUACAAAUGGUGUAUAUUACCAUAUAUAAAUUAUACUUUAAACAAAACAAAAAGAGACCAACCUACAAAGAAAUCACUCCAUCGAUUACUUAGUGGUCACAAGGUGUGAAAGGUAUCUUUACAAAGCAGUGACUGGCUGUCACAACCUCACCCAUGAUCAAUUUCAGCCUCACUGAUGUUGGACAACCAGAUGUUAGGUGUCUCCUAAUGUGAUGCAACUUGGAGUACAGAGCACCCAGGAAAGAGAGAGAUGUAUCUAAGGAAACAUUCAGACAAAUCCAGAAUGUGAUGGGGCAGCUCAAAAAACAACUGGCUUGGACUCCAGAAAGGUCAGUAUCAUGAAAACCAAGAAAAAAAAAAAAAGGUGGGGUGAGUGGGAGAUGGAGAGGGUGGUUCCAUCUAAAUAAAAAAUGAUUAAAGAGACCUAUAACCCUUGAUUGGACUCUGCUUUGAACAGACCAGCUAUAAAAGACAUUUUGGGGACAAUUAGGGAAAUUUGAAUGUGGACUAGGUAUUAGAUGGUAUUGAUUUUAUUACGUAUGAUAAAUGUGGCUUUGUAGGAUAUUGCUUUUUAGAGAUGUAUGUUGAAGUAUUAGGGAUGCAAUGUCGCAGUUCGCAUAGUUCAUUUCAGAAUCCUUCCGCCCAAAUGAGGAGGAAGCAGAAGUAAUAUGAAGGGGCAGAUCCCGGCUAUGGACCAGGCACCUGUGCCGACCACACUUAAGAUGGAAUGCAAGCUCCUUACAGAGGCCUCUUUAGACCAGACCUGACCAUCUGAAGGGCCACCAUCGGGUCCCCAGGGCCUGCGUUUAUCAAGCACCUGCGCGCCCUGCGCACAGCUGCAGGCGCCUCGGCCUCGGGACCUUGCUGCUUGCUGUUUCCUGCUGGGAGGGCCGACCCUGUCGGGACUAGCCGGGUGACUUGCCCCCAGCCACGGAAACAGCUGCAAUCCGGGACCUCAGACCUGACCCGAUCCCCGCCGGCGCGGAGCAGCGGGAAGCCAGGUUCCUCCGCCACCUCCCGGCCAGAGCCGUGGGCACCUGGUUCCAGCGCACCUGCCUUCGCUCCUCCUCGUCCUCGCUCUGGUCCCGAGCAGUGCGUCGUGGCAGGCCGGUCCCCGCCGCGGGCGGAGUCUCCAGCAGCGUUCUCCCAGUUCUCGUCCCCCUGGCGGGAUCGGGUUCCCUCCCUCAGUUGUUGUGGAGCAGGUGCAGGCCGGGUCCCACGAAGCGGAGUCGUGAGCAAGCAGAGCUUGUACUCUGGGCUGGGAGUGGAGGGCCCGGCCACCUGCGCACAGAAUGCCUGAGGGCCCCGAGCUGCAUCUGGCCAGCCGCUUCGUGAACGAGGCGUGCAGGGGGUUGGUGUUUGGCGGGUGUGUGGAGAAGUCACCCGUCAGCCGCAACCCUGAGGUGCCCUUUGAGAGCAGUGCGUACUGCAUCUCAUCCUCGGCCCGUGGCAAGGAGCUGCGCCUGACCCUGAGCCCCCUGCCUGGGGCCGAGCCCCCACGGGGGCCACUGGCCCUGGUCUUCCGAUUCGGCAUGUCUGGCUCCUUCCAGCUGGCGUCCCGGGAUGCGCUGCCAGCCCACGCCCACCUGCGCUUUUACACAGCUCCCCCCGGCCCCCCACUUGCCCUCUGCUUCGUGGACAUCCGCCGCUUUGGCCACUGGGACCUCGGGGGCGAGUGGCAGCCCGGCCGUGGGCCUUGUGUCUUGCUGGAGUAUGAGCAGUUCAGGGAGAACGUGUUACGAAACCUAGCGGACAAGGUCUUUGACCAGCCCAUCUGCGAGGCCCUCUUGGACCAGAGGUUCUUCAAUGGCAUUGGCAACUAUCUUCGGGCAGAGAUCCUGUACCGGCUGAGGAUACCCCCCUUCGAGAAGGCCCGCGAGGUUCUGGAGGCGCUGCAGCAGCGCAGGCCGAGCCCGGAGCUGACUCUGAGCCAGAAGAUCAGGGCUAAGCUGCAGAACCCAGACCUGCUGGAACUGUGUCACUCCGUGCCCAAGGAAGUGGUCCAGCUGGGGGGAUCCUGGACCCCUGGCACCCAAAGUCCCCACUCCAACCCUGGGAGUCACCCCAGAGCAGGAGUCUGCAGAAAGGGGGCUGAGGGCAUAGGACUCUCCCGCCCCAGUGUCAGUGUCCUGCAGGAGGCAAGUCCCACAAGAAGAAAUCCAAGGGAGCACAGCAGGGGCCUGAGCACAGAACGGAGGUAUGGCUCCUCCCUGCAUUCUCCCCUGCCCCGCCAGCCAGCCGCACCUCCCAGGUGCCCUCCCUCGACAAUGGGGGGCAACGGUGGGUCCUCACCAACCUCUGAACUGCUCACGGAGCCCCUUGGGGACCUGUAUCUCCUCAGGACCCUCUCCUUCCAAGCACGGCCCCUCCCAGGACACGUGGGGCACACAGAGGUCCUCCUGAGCAAAGUAGAGUAGAGCAGCCUGAGGGCACCAGCCUCCAGCAGGACCCAGAGGCCCCCCGAGUUCCUGAGAAGCUCAGGCCACCGCAGACCCCGAAGGAUCAAAGCUGACACCCCAUCCUUGGAGAAUGAGGGGACGGCAGCCUCCUAGCCUGAGGGCGUCCUUGCUCGCGUCCACCGGCUUUCUCUGCUGAGCCCAUCGGGGCCUGGGCGGCUCACCAGAAGCAGGCUGGAGCUGCUGGGGGCCAGGUGCCCCUGGCCCUGUGGCUGUUCCCUGCACACCUCUGAUGUUUUUAAUUGUACCCCACCUUCCCCCUUUUUAAGCCCACAUGAAAAAUGCUGUCAUUUUUAAUAAACUAAUACACUUGAAUUUCUUGGCACUUCUUGGGCUGGCUGCAGAAGGUCUGGGAAGGCCAACCUGGGAAAACCUGCUGCCUGACCUUGGAGACUGGAGAGCCACCUGGGCAAGGCUGACUGAGCCC